UACGGAGGGUGCAAGCGUUAUCCGGAUUCACUGGGUUUAAAGGGUGCGUAGGUGGUAAUGUAGGUCAGUGGUGAAAUCUCCGUGCUUAACAUGGAAACUGCCAUUGAUACUAUGUUUCUUGAAUCUUCCGGAGGUCAGCGGAAUAUGUCAUGUAGCGGUGAAAUGCUUAGAUAUGACAUAGAACACCAAUUGCGAAGGCAGCUGACUACAGGGGCAUUGACACUGAGGCACGAAAGCGUGGGGAUCAAACAGG
rnacentral:rRNA from 1 species